rnacentral:rRNA from 1 species
AUUGAACGCUGGCGGCAGGCCUAACACAUGCAAGUCGAACGAGUGGCGGACGGGUGAGUAAUGUCUGGGAAACUGCCUGAUGGAGGGGGAUAACUACCGGAAACGGUAGCUACUACCGCAUACCAUCGGAUGUGCCCAGAUGGGAUUAGCUAGUAGGUGGGGUAAAGGCUCACCUAGGCGACGUUCCCUAGCUGGUCUGAGGAGAUGACCAGACAUACUGGGGAGAAGACACGGUCCAGACUGCGUCGGAAGGCGGCAGUGGAGAAGAUUGCAAAAUGGACGCAAGCCUGAUGCAGCCAGGACGCGUGUAGGAAGAAGGCCUUCGGGUUGUAAAGUACUUACAGCAGGGAGGCGUUACCCGCAGGAGAAGCACCGGCAAACUCCGUGCCAGCCGCCGCGGUAAUAC